GACGAACGCUGGCGGCGUGCUUAACACAUGCAAGUCGAACGCUGAAGCUCAGCUUUUGUUGGGUGGAUGAGUGGCGAACGGGUGAGUAACACGUGAGUAACCUGCCCCCUUCUUUGGGAUAACGCCCGGAAACGGGUGCUAAUACUGGAUAUUCACUGGUCUUCGCAUGGGGGUUGGUGGAAAGGGUUUUUCUGGUGGGGGAUGGGCUCGCGGCCUAUCAGCUUGUUGGUGGGGUGAUGGCCUACCAAGGCUUUGACGGGUAGCCGGCCUGAGAGGGUGACCGGUCACAUUGGGACUGAGAUACGGCCCAGACUCCUACGGGAGGCAGCAGUGGGGAAUAUUGCACAAUGGGCGCAAGCCUGAUGCAGCGACGCCGCGGGAGGGAUGGAGGCCUUCGGGUUGUGAACCUCUUUCGCCCAUGGUCAAGCCGCAACAAUGGUUGUGGUGAGGGUAGUGGGUAAAGAAGCGCCGGCUAACUACGUG
rnacentral:rRNA from 1 species